GAUGAACGCUGGCGGUAUGCUUAACACAUGCAAGUCGAACGGUCACUUCGGUGAUAGUGGCGGACGGGUGAGUAACGCGUGAGAAUCUGUCCUCAGGUCGGGGACAACAGUUAGAAAUGACUGCUAAUACCGGAUGUGCCUUUGGGUGAAAGAUUUAUUGCCUGAAAAAGAGCUCGCGUCAGAUUAGCUAGUAGGUGGUGUAAGAGACUACCUAGGCUCCGAUCUGUAGCUGGUCUGAGAGGACGCUCAGCCACACUGGAACUGAGACACGGUCCAGCCUCCGAGGGGGGGCAGAGGGGGGGAAUUUACCGCAGUGGGCAAAGGCGUAACGGAGCAAUACCGCGGGAGGGAGGAGUCGUUUUGGGUCGUAAACCCUUUUUUAAAGGAAAGUGAGUGACGGUAAUGGGUAAAGAAGCAUCGGCUAACUCUGUG
rnacentral:rRNA from 1 species